rnacentral:rRNA from 1 species
CCUACGGGUGGCAGCAGUGGGGAAUAUUGCACAAUGGGGGAAACCCUGAUGCAGCGAAGCCGCGUGAGUGAAGAAGUAACUCGUUAUGGAAAGCUCUAUCAGCAGGGGAGAAAAUGACGGUACGUGAGUAAGAAGCCACGGCUAACUACGUGCCAGCAGCGGCGGUAAUACGUAGGGAGCAAGCGUUAUCCGGAUUUACUGGGUGUAAAGGGAGCGUAGACGGCAUUUCAAGUCUGGAGUGAAAGGUGGGGGCUCAACCCCAGGAUUGCUCUUGAAACUGUAAGGCUGGAGUGCAGGAGAGGUAAGUGGAAUUCGUGGUGUAGCGGUGAAAUGCGUAGAUAUUAGGAGGAACCCCAGUUGCGAAGGCGGCUUACUGGACUGUAACUGACGUUGAUGCUCGAAAGUGUGGGUAGCAAACAGGAUUAGAUACCCUAGUAGUC